AUCCCUUCCAGGUCUAAAUCAGAAAGCUCUAAUCAAACGUAAUCCCAUAAAAAUAAGAAUGUUUUGUAAUGUGGUUCAAUGCCGUAUUAUGGGUGGUUAAGAGGCAAAGGGCCAAAGGAAGCAGUAGAAGAGAAUGAAGAGAAAGAUGGGGAAGAAGAGACUGCUCAGCAGAGAAGGAAACACCAAACAAAGGGGUGGAGGAACAGAGGGAAACAGCUUAACCUCAUCUGUUUCUACUAUGGCAAUUUUGUGAUUCCUACAAGGUCCAGUCACAGAGAGGAAAAUCAGUUGGUCAACUUCUCUAAGACAAGCCUUCCACAGAAGAGAUAUUCUUCUUUGUGGCUGAGUGGGCAGCUGAAGGGGCUCUCAUUUUUGCAUUUCUCUGUAGAAAGAUGGCAAAAAUCCCAGGUUUGAUUUUAUUGCUGCCUAAAUAACAACCAGCGGCUUCUCUCCAGGAAGGUCUUACUGCAUGGAUCUUGGCUGCUACCUAAAAGCCAGACACAUUUUACAGAGCUCCCCUCCCAUACAGAAGUUCUCCACACUGACUGUUCUCCUCUAAUUGCUCCAUAAUGUGCCAAAAGACUGACAUAACUAACUCAAUUAAAAGUGCAAGAAGCUCUAUCUAUGAGCACUUUGAGCCUUCUUAACAAUAAAACUAUAUGGUUCUGUUAUUUAAGACAUACCAGAUCAAUACAAAGCACAACAGAACAGGCAUAAUCAAUGGAAUGGACAAAAGGGAGGAAAUAGAGCUCAAUGAAUCAAGUGCUGGCUUGACCGGCAACCACAGCUCCCAUUCCCCAUUCCAAUAAUAAGCAAUUCUGGGUUACAUUUAGAAAAUCCAAUAAAAUUAAGAAAUCUCUUCCCAUCUUCAUUCUGUCCUAAA